ACGGUGCAUAGACUGUUUUUUUUUCUCGUUAGUUUUCAUGGCUAAAAUGAGAGAUCAGGUGGCUGAUCUUAAAAUAAAUCAAUACUGAAUUUUUUAUAGAGCGUUAAAGUUUUGCGAAGCCAGGGGGCGGGGCUACUUGAUUGACAGUCUGGUCUGGAAUGAUUGACAGGUCCUAUGGAGGAGGCAGCAGAGACUCUGCUCGCCUGGUUUGGAUUAAUUCUGAUAUAAUAACUGUUGGUUUAUUUAUCGGUGGAGCAGCAGAACAUUUUCCACAGACAGUUUUCCUGCCCGUUGGCUUGUUUUAACUAGUUUUCUGCCUUCGGCUGAUUCUACCAGCAGACACUGAAAGGACUCUGAUAGUUUGGUGUCUCAUAUUCACUGUGAGGAUCUUCUGAGUGAAGCCAGCAGAAGGAAAACCUCAUCUGGAUGUGAAGAAGGAGACUGAAUGGACGACAUCCUCAGUGAACCACUUGAGUGAAAGUAACAGUUCCUCCUGAAGGUCAGAGGUUGCAGCAUCUGAGGGCCUCUUCAAAAGAAGACGUAGUUGAUGAAGGCGUUCUGGAGCAGGACCAGAAAGACCACGACCAAGCAGCCUUGAGAUCUUAGGCAGCGUCUCCCUCAGGUCCCUCUCUAUCUCCCCACACAUCUCCAAAGUUCUGCUGGGCCAGCUCAGCUUCCCCUCAGAAGAAGUGCCGCCACCUGCCAGAUGAAGGAGCCUUUUGAGAGGCAGCUGGCAUCGUGAUUGGACUGUACUUUGGUCUGUUCCAAUCCAGCUUCAGCUCCAGAGACGGCAGGCGGGACGAGUCAACGGAGGCUGGAUGGACGAAGGCAUGCAGCUGAGUACAAUCCAGAAAACAACAGAGGAGGAGUGCAGUGGCGCAGAGCCAGAACAAGCAGAGUAGGAUGACCAAAGAACUACAGACUCUUCACAACCUGCUUAAACUCUUGGUACAGGACCUCACCACACGGGUCAAGAAGGUUUCUGUCUCAUUUCUACUCUGAAGCUCACCUUCUCCUGCUCAAACUGCUGACAAAUGUUUCUGCUGCUCUAAAGUCUGGUCUCCAGAACUUCCUAAAAACUCUCAAAGUCUCUUCUGCUGCAGGUUGCUUUGUAGAACUGUUGCAGAAAACCUCACUAAACCACAUGGAGGGGGCUCAAGAUAGUCGUCCAAAUGAAACAGUACAAAAACCAAACUAGCACAACCCAAACGCUAAAGUCUCCUGCAGCCUACCAGAGAACCUCUGAGAACAGAGAAUCAGGACAGGAACUCUUACCUUCUGGACAACCAACGCUGGUUCUCAAACAAGAAUACAGAAUGUGUCUGACCAAAAACCUCUGAAGACUCACUACAGCCAAGACAAAGACACAACUCAGCUGCACCAAAUCCACUAAUCACUGCACACAUUAGCACCAUGUGCUAACUGUGGCUAAAGAACCACAUUUACCAAGACAACUAUCCAGUACAAAGCCCUAAAACACACCAAGAAACACAUUAAAGACGAUUUUACUGCUGGAAGCUGCAAGCCAACGUCUAAAGAACAAACUAAAGCAAUGGAGCCAAACCCGGUUCAGUGGUGAAGAGAAGCAGAGGAAAUGUUUGUCUGCAGCUAAAUAAAGCAGGAAGACACUGAGCUGCUCAGGUGUUCCUGAUAACACCAAGCAGCCACCUGGACAGCCAAUAGGAACACAGCUUACUGGAAGUCCAGAGGGCUGGGUUAGUGAAGGAAAUUUAGUUUAAAGUUGAAGCAGAAAGUUAACAAAGAAAGUUGAAAACCACCUUCUGAUACCUGAAAUCUCUGAGUUUUUACACAAAGAACGCCUGAACAUGUCAAACUGGUUCCAUAGUAGAACCCUCAUUGUAAAAACGUCAUAGUAUGGUGUGUUGCUCGAAAAACAUUACGACCUGGCUGUCUAGGGUCGCCGAGGAGCAACACAAAAACAGGACAAACGCUGGUUUCCAGGGGGUUAGGCAGCUAUUUAUUUGAAAGAGGAAGUUUACAACAACACGUGAGCAGAAAAAUCACAAAGUCUGUCUUUACUUCAGCUGAAAAUACUAGUUUUUGUCUUUUUUUUAUUGACCAAACUUUUCAGGAAGUAGAUGAAGAAUAAUUAAAGCUCUCAUGUAGAAGUCCAACUUACUGUAUUUUGGAUACUUGUGGAGAGUUUAAUCUUAGAGUUUGUAAAGCUGUUGAGUUUUUAGAGUCACAUGGAUUGUUUUGACAUUUAAUAACAGAGUCCUGAAAUAAAAUUACAGUUGUGGACUUCUGUCAUUUAGUCUGGACUAAACAAAUAACAGCAGCAUAAAUCUCAAAUGUCAUUAUGAGGAGUCUGGAUUGAGGUUUCUCACUUGAUAAUGAUCAAAACAUGAAACUUAGGUUGGUUUAAAGGAAUGUUCCACCUUAAAUCUUUGAAUGUUGACCUAAAAGGUUGGUUUCAGGAAGUAUUCCACCUACAAGGUCCUCACACAUCCACCUUAAAGGAACAUUCCACCAAAAAUCCUUGGACAUGCACCUAAAAUGUUGGUUUAACCGAUAUUCCAUCCAAAAUCCUCAAAUACAGACCCGAAAGGGUGGUUUAGAAAAAAUCCUUCAAUGUAGACCAAAAAAGUUAGUAUGGAGGAAUAUUCCACCUGAAAUGUAGACCUGAGAAGUUGGUUUGGAAGAAUAUACCAUCCUAAAAUCCUCCAAUGUCAACCUAAAAGGUGAGUUUAAUGGUAUAUUCCACCUAAAAUUCACUACUGUAGACCUUGGAGGUUGGUCUGAUGGUAUAUUCCAUCCAACAUCUUUGAACAUAAAUUUAAAAAGUUCAAAGGAAUAUUCCACCUGAAAUCCUUCAAUGUCGACCAAAAAAAUCUUGGUGUAAAGGAGUAUUCCACCUUAAAUGUAGACCUAAAGGAUGGUUUGGAGUAAUAUUCUACUCUAAAAUCUUCCAAUGUAGACCUAAAAGGUUUAUCUGAUGGUAUAUUCUACCCAACAUCCUGGAACGUUUACCUAAAAGGUUGGUUUAAUGGUAUAUUCCCAGAAGAACCCUUGAACAUUGGGCUUAAUGGUAUAUUCCACCCAAAAUACUUGAACAUAUACCAAGAAGUCAGUGUAAAGGAAAUGUAGACCUAAAAGGAUAGUUUUAAGGAAUAUUUAAAUGAUUAUUUUCAUUAUUUAAUAAUCUGUUAUCAGUCAGAACCCUGGCAAACUUAUUUUCAUCAGUUUGUUUUAGUUGAAGUCACAAAUAAAGGAGCUCUUGGUUUUUCCCGGCGUUAGUGAGUCAAAAGCUGCUGUUUCAACACAGAACGUUCACAUGCAUCCACAAACCUCUAAGCACUCAAACACCCACAGACAGGAGGCCGGCUGGACCGAGGCUCGGCGGCGUCCUCAGACCCACGAGUCGGGGAGUCGCUGAACUUGUUGGUCCGGUUUGAAGGCCUCUGUGUGGUCCAGUAGAAGUCCACGUAGUCGGUGUUGGCUUUGAACGGCAGCGACUGGCCACCAUCAGGUGGACCGGCUCGUCCUCGCAGGGCUCCUCCUGUUGCCUUGAGGGGACCACAGGAACAUUCAGUAGCUGUUGGAGUUCUUCCUGUCAGGCUCGUGGUAGAACGGCCCUUAAGAAUCUUGUACUUGUCUUAUCAGGAACAAUCUAACAGCCUAAACUGUUAACAGCGGUGUAAAGAAGCAAACACACAGGCAUAGAUUAGGACUCAAACUAGAUUUAUUUUAGAAAACAAAUCAACUUAGAGGCAUUUGUUCACACGUGGCUGAAUAGGAGGCCGUCCAAUCAGAUUCGAGGUCUUCACUCUGUAGGUUGUUUGUUUGGUGAGACUCUUGGACCUCCAUCAGCUGACGUGGAUGUUUGAUGGGCUUCUUCUCUAGUGCCAGAUGAUUCAUCCAUGAAUUCAGCAGCUACAGACUGAAAUGAAGCUCAUGCUGCCGUGAUUGAAUUCCUGUUCCAGAUCAAAUGUUCAGAGCUCACCUUGAAUGCAGCCGUCUGCUGUCUGAUAGUUUUUCUCAUUGUAGUCUUCAAUAAAGUCUUUUUCCUCA